GUCUAUGGCCAUGACACCCUGAACACGCCCGAUCUCGUCUGAUCUCAGAAGCUAAGCAGGGUCGGGCCUGGUUAGUACUUGGAUGGGAGACCACCUAGAAAUACCAGGUGCUGCUUUAA
rnacentral:rRNA from 1 species